ensembl:misc_RNA 7SK 7SK RNA
GGAUGCAAAGGCUAUCUGGCUGUGACAUCUGUCAUCCUAUGGAUUGGCAGAGUAGAUUCAACUGGUCUGGUUGGAUAGGUUGGUGUCCCCUUCCUCCCUAACUGAUCCGUGUGUGUCCCUCCAAAGCUGUGUGCUUUGCAGAAGAGGACGACUACCCCCAACAGAGAAAGACUGUUUCAUCAGUCAAAGGUGUAUGAGUAGCUGCACUCCCCUGAUAGAACCUCCAAAUAAGCCCUCAAAGACUAUAAGCCUCCUACAACCCAAUUUGUACUCAUUCUAUCUACAGGCUCAUCUAGAGAUAUGCUUCAUCCAUCUUACCUCA